GAAAUGCGAUAAGUAAUGUGAAUUGCAGAAUUGAGUGAAUCAUCGAAUCUUUGAACGCACAUUGCGCCCGCCAGUAUUCUGGCGGGCAUGCCUGUCCGAGCGUCAUUUCAACCAUCAAGCCCCCGGGCUUGUGUUGGGGACCUGCGGCUGCCCGCAGGCCCUGAAAACCAGUGGCGGGCUCGCUGUCACACCGAGCGUAGUAGCAAUCACCUCGCUCAGGGCGUGCUGCGGGUUCCGGCCGUUAAACAGCCUUACAAAACCCAAGGUUGACCUCGGAUCAGGUAGGAAGACCCGCUGAACUUAAGC
rnacentral:misc_RNA from 1 species